GGGAAUGUGGCUUAGCGGUAGAGUGCUUGUCUGGCACUCAUGAAGCUCUGGGUUUGAUUCCUCAGUACCA
rfam:Dipodomys ordii contig_53079, whole genome shotgun sequence.